rnacentral:tRNA from 2 species
GGAGAGGUACCGAAGUGGCCAUAACGGGGCCGACUCGAAAUCGGCUGUCCCGCUAAUACCGGGACCGUGGGUUCGAAUCCCACCCUCUCCGCCA